GUGGAUUCUCAAGCGUGAGGUAAGAGCAUUUGGUGGAUGCCUUGGCAUGUGCAGGCGAUGAAGGACGUGGCACGCUGCGAUAAGCGUCGGGGAGAUGUGAGCAAUCUUUGAUCCGGCGAUUUCCGAAUGGGGAAACCCACCCUCACCAUUUCCUUUCGAUUGUUUUCGGACAGUCGGAAAGAGGUGGAUAGGGUAUCACCAGACUGAAUACAUAGGUUUGGUGAAGCGAACCCGGGGAACUGAAACAUCUCAGUACCCGGAGGAAAAGACAUCAACAGAGAUUCCCGUAGUAGUGGCGAGCGAACCGGGACCAGGCCAGUGCCUUCAUUUCAACUAGCAAAACACUUUGGAAAGAGUGGCCAUAGCGGGUGACAGCCCCGUAUGCGAAAGUGAUGAUGAAGGACUCGAGUAGGGCGGGACACGUGAAAUCCUGUCUGAACAUGGGGGGACCACCCUCCAAGCCUAAAUACUCGCACAUGACCGAUAGCGAACACAGUACCGUGAGGGAAAGGUGAAAAGCACCCCGAUUAGGGGAGUGAAACAGUACCUGAAACCGGAUGCUUACAAGCAGUUGGAGCCCCAUAGGGGUGACAGCGUACCUCUUGCAUAAUGGGUCAGUGACUUAAUCUACCAUGCAAGCUUAAGCCGUUAGGUGUAGGCGCAGCGAAAGCGAGUCUGAACAGGGCGACUGAGUAUGAUGGAUUAGACCCGAACCCCGGCGAUCUAGGCAUGGCCAGGUUGAAGGUGCGGUAACACGCACUGGAGGACCGAACCGGUGAAUGUUGAAAAAUUCUCGGAUGAGCUGUGUUUAGGGGUGAAAGGCCAAUCAAGCCGGGAAAUAGCUGGUUCUCCGCGAAAUCUAUUGAGGUAGAGCGUCGGAUGUAUGCCGAUGGGGGUAGAGCACUGGAUGGGCUAGGGCUGCGCGAGCGGUACCAAACCUAACCAAACUCCGAAUACCAUCGAGUCUUAUCCGGCAGACAGACGGCGGGUGCUAAGGUCCGUCGUCAAAAGGGAAACAGCCCUAACCUACAGCUAAGGUCCCCAAGUCAUAUCUAAGUGGGAAAGCAUGUGGGAAUCCCAAAACAACCAGGAGGUUGGCUUAGAAGCAGCCAUCCUUUAAAGAAAGCGUAACAGCUCACUGGUCUAAAUAAGGGUUCCUGCGGCGAAGAUGUAACGGGGCUAAAGAUAUGCACCGAAGCUUAGGGUUCAGAAUUUAUUCUGAGCGGUAGCGGAGCGUUCCGUAAGCGAGUGAAGGCGAAGGGUAACCGACGCUGGACGUAUCGGAAGUGCGAAUGCUGACAUGAGUAGCGACAAACAGGGUGAGAUGCCCUGUCGCCGAAAGACCAAGGGUUCCUGCUCAACGCUAAUCGGAGCAGGGUUAGCCGGCCCUAAGACGAGCCCGAAGGGGGUAGUCGAUGGGAACCACGUAAAUAUUCGUGGGCCUGAAGAUGUGUGACGGAUCGUGGACGUUGUUCACCCUUAUUGGAUUGGGUGGGCAGCCAAGCGGUUCCAGGAAAUAGCCUCUUCACUAUAGACCGUACCCGAAACCGACACAGGUGGUCAGGUAGAGUAUACCAAGGCGCUUGAGAGAAGUAUCCUGAAGGAACUCGGCAAAUUGCCUCCGUACCUUCGGAAGAAGGAGGCCCAUAUCGACGCAAGUCUUUGUGGGGGCACAGGCCAGGGGUAGCGACUGUUUAGCAAAAACACAGCACUCUGCUAAGUCGGCUUCAAGACGACGUAUAGGGUGUGACGCCUGCCCGGUGCUCGAAGGUUAAGAGGAGGAGUGCAAGCUCCGAAUUGAAGCCCGAGUAAACGGCGGCCGUAACUAUAACGGUCCUAAGGUAGCGAAAUUCCUUGUCGGGUAAGUUCCGACCUGCACGAAUGGCGUAACGACUUCCCCACUGUCUCCAGGAUAUGCUCAGCGAAAUUGAAUUCUCCGUGAAGAUGCGGAGUACCCGCGGUUAGACGGAAAGACCCCGUGCACCUUUACUGCAGCUUCAGAGUGGCAUUAGGAAAUUACUGUGUAGAAUAGGUGGGAGGCUUUGAAACUCGGGCGCCAGUCCGAGGGGAGCCAACCUGUGAAAUACCACCCUGUGAUUUUCUGAUGUCUAACCAGGCACCGUUAGCCGGUGUUGGGACCCUCUGUGGCGGGUAGUUUGACUGGGGCGGUCGCCUCCUAAAGAGUAACGGAGGCGCGCGAUGGUAGGCUCAGGACGGUUGGAAACCGUCUGCAAGAGUGCAAUGGCAUAAGCCUGCCUGACUGCGAGACUGACGAGUCGAGCAGAGACGAAAGUCGGUCAUAGUGAUCCGGUGGUCCCUCGUGGAAGGGCCAUCGCUCAACGGAUAAAAGGUACGCCGGGAUAACAGGCUGAUGAUUCCCAAGAGCUCAUAUCGACGGAAUCGUUUGGCACCUCGAUGUCGGCUCAUCACAUCCUGGGGCUGGAGCAGGUCCCAAGGGUUUGGCUGUUCGCCAAUUAAAGUGGUACGUGAGCUGGGUUCAGAACGUCGCGAGACAGUUUGGUCCCUAUCUGCCGUGGGCGUCGAUUGUUGAAAGGAGUUGCCCCUAGUACGAGAGGACCGGGGUGAACGUGCCUCUGGUGUACCUGUCAUCCUGCCAAGGGUGCCGCAGGGUAGCUAUGCACGGACGGGAUAACCGCUGAAAGCAUCUAAGCGGGAAGCCUCCCUUGAGAUAAGCAAUCUUCGAACCGUCAUAGACCAUGACGUUGAUAGGCCGGGUGUGGAAGCGCAGUAAUGCGUGGAGCUAACCGGUCCUAAUAGUUCUUUUCGCGCUUG
rnacentral:rRNA from 1 species